rnacentral:rRNA from 1 species
UAAUUCACCAACAGCACAUAGGGGAUGUCUUGGUAGAUUCAGCUGAUGAAGGACGUAGUAGGCUGCGAUAAGCGUCGGGUAGCUGCCAACAAGCGAUAAUCCGGCGAUUUCCGAAUGGGGAAACCCACUGUCGUAAACCGACAGUACCGUGCCUUGCUUUCGUUCGACACUGAUUAAUUAUCAAUUCGCAAUUUUGCAAUUUUCAAUUAAAUCUCAAUGAAUUAAUUUUCAAACCAUUGAGAUAUUAAAAAUUCACUGAAAAUUGAAAAUUCGAAAAUUAGAAAUUGUGUUGAGCGGUAGCAAGGCACGGGAGGCACCCGGGGAACUGAAACAUCUUAGUACCCGGAGGAAAAGAAAGUAGUAACGAUUCCCUGAGUAUGCGGCGAGCGAAAGGGGAACAGCCCAAACUCGUUCGUUGCACCUUGGGCGUAAGCGGUAAGCAGGCGGGCCUAUAAAGAGACGGCUCUAGCCUUUCUAAAAUAUGUUUGCGCUUGCGUCCGGGGUGUAACGAGCGAGGGUACGGGUAGCAUCGGAAGAUUACUUCGAGUGAUUGGAUUGAGUUAGUCGAAGGACCUUGGAAAAGGCCACCAUAGGGGGUGAAAGUCCCGUAGGCGAAAACUUCAACCACACUUGGAUGCUAUUCCUGAGUACGUUUAGACACGAGUAAUCUAGGCGGAAGAUCGGGUGAUCGUGCCCGAAGGCUAAAUACUGAAUCUGACCGAUAGUGAACAAGUACCGUGAGGGAAAGAUGAAAAGUACCCAGAGUAUGGGAGUGAAAUAGUACCUGAAACUGUGUGCUGACAAGGAGUCGGAGCUGACCGCAUCUCAUUACAUUCGAUGCAGAUAAUUUCGAAUUCUGAAUUUCUAAUUUCGAAUAACUUUUGAAUAACUGAAUGAUUGAAUAUUAAAAAAUCUAACAUUCAUUCAAAAUUCGAAAAUUGAAAUUCAAAAUUAAUAUUUGUCAUCGAGCGUAGCGAGAUGUGGUUGGUGACGGCGUGCCUAUUGAAGAAUGAGCCAACGAGUUAGAUUUCUGCCGCUAGUUUAAGGACUUUUGGUCCGGAGGCGUAGCGAAAGCGAGUGUUAAUAGCGCGUUUCAGCGCUUCGCGCUGAGUAGCGGCAGGGACUAGACCCGAAACCGGGUGAUCUAACCAUGGGCAGGGUGAACCCUGGGGAAACCCAGUGGGGAGGCCCGAACCCACCAGUGUGGCAAAACUGGGGGAUGACCUGUGGUUAGGGGUAAAAUGCCAAUCGAACCCGGAGAUAGCUGGUUCUCUCCGAAAUAGCUUUAGGGCUAGCGAUUGCGUGCAUGGUGCGGGGUAGAGCACUGAAUGGUGAGUAGGGGCGAAAGCUCUUGCCACCAAACAAACUCCGAAUACGCACCGUUUGGCGCAGUCAGUCAGACUAUGCGGGCUAAGCUGCAUUGUCGAAAGGGAAACAGCCCAGACCUAUAUCUAAGGUCCCUAAAUUCUGGUUAAGUGGGAAACGAAGUGAAGGAGCGUAGACAACUAGGAGGUUGGCUUAGAAGCAGCCAUCCUUUAAAGAAAGCGUAACAGCUCACUAGUCGAUUUUACGUCGUCCUGCAAUGCCACCUCGAAAGAGGAGGCGGCGCAGGCGACCUCUAGGCUUCUUGGCGCGGAAAAUGUAACGGGGCUCAAACCAGGUACCGAAGAUUAGGAGUUGUGCUUCGCACUGAGAAUUCUCAAUUUUCAAGUUUCAAUUCUCAAUUAAUGAUCAAUGACUAAAUUUUCAAACUUUGGAAAUUGGUUAAUUGAAAAUUAAAUGAAAGUUGUAAAAUUAGAAAUUGGAAAUUUCGGUGCGGAGCGCGACUGGUAGGAGAGCGUUCGUAUUGGGGUGAAGCGGCACUGUAAGGUACCGUGGACUGAUACGAAGUGAGAAUGUUGGCAUGAGUAACGAAAGGCAGGUGAGAACCCUGCCCGCCGCAAGUCUAAGGUUUCCACAGUAACGGCGAUCGUCUGUGGGUUAGUCGGUCCUAACCCAGCGUUUUGCGCAUAAGGUGCAAAACACUGGAAGUAUCAAUUUUCAAGUUUCAAUUCUCAAUUAAUGAUCAAUGACUAAAUUUUCAAACUUUGGGAAUAAUUGAAAAUUUCAGCGUCUUGUGUCCAAGACGCUGGGGAUGGACACACGGUUAAUAUUCCGUGACUACUGCGCAACUACCUCAAGAUGACACGGGCCCGUGGCCAAAAGCGAUUAUUGGAUUUCGCUUAGGCUCAAAGCUCGGCAAGAAAAGUCUUGAAUUAACUAUGCGUAGUAUCCGUACCGCAAACCGACACAGGUAGACGAGGCGAGUAGCCUCAGGUGGUCGAGAAAACCCUCGUUAAGGAACUCGGCAAAAAAUCGGGCGUAACUUCGGGAUAUGCCCUUCCGCCGCAAGGCGGACGCAGCGAAAGAUACCAAGCGACUGUUUAGCAAAAACACAGGCCUCUGCGAACCGCAAGGGAAGUAUAGGGGCUGAUGCCUGCCCAGUGCUCGUAGGUUACGGGGAGGGCUGACAGUGCUUCGCACUGAGAAUUCUCAAUUUUCAAUUCUAAAUUUUCAAAUAAUUUUCAAUUGAUCAAUGAAUCAUUGGGACUUAAAUGAAAAUUGAAAACUGCUAAUUGGAAAUUUCAGUGCGGAGUACUGAAGGCUCGAACUUAAGCCCGAGUGAACGGCAGCGGUAACUAUAACCGUUCUAAGGUAGCGAAAUUCCUCGCCGGGUAAGUUCCGGCCCGCACGAAUGGCAUAACGACUUGGUAACUGUCUCAACGAGGGGCUCGGUGAAAUUGCACUGCCGGUGAAGAUGCCGGCUACUUGCAGCAAGACGGAAAGACCCCGUGGAGCUUUACUACAGUUUGGCAUUGAAUCAGAGCUUGGCAUGUGUAGCGUAGGUGGGAGUCUUCGGACGCCAAUGAAACACCACCCUUGUUUUGUUUUGAUUCUCACCCCCAGGGCCUUGUGUACAAGGCCUGGCAAUGAUCAAUUCGCAAUUUUCAAUUUUCAAAGAAAUAUCAAUUGUUCAAUGGAAUUGAAAAAUUAAAAAUUGUAAAUGCCGGGGCUUUGUAUGCAAAGUCCUGGGGUGACAGUGUCAGAUGGGUAGUUUGACUGGGGCGGUCGCCUCCUAAAAGGUAACGGAGGCGCGCAAUGGUUGGCUAGGUACGGAUGGAAAUCGUACUGAUAGUGUAAACGCAUAAGCCAGCUUGACUGUGAGGCCUACCAGCCGAGCAGGUGCGAAAGCAGGUGUUAGUGAUCCAGCCGGUGCAGAACGAGACGGCCGGCGCUCAACGGAUAAAAGCUACCCCGGGGAUAACAGGCUUAUAGCGCCCAAUCGUCCACAGAGACGGCGCUGUUUGGCACCUCGAUGUCGGCUCAUCCUAUCCUGGAGGUGGAGAAGCUUCCAAGGGUUUGGCUGUUCGCCAAUUAAAAGGGUACGCGAGCUGGGUUCAGAACGUCGCGAGACAGUUCGGUCCUAAUCUGCUGCAAGCGUUGAAGAUUGAGGGGGGCGGCUCCUAGUAUGAGAAGACCGGAGCGGACGAACCGCUGGUGUAUCGGCUGUCCUGCCAAGGGCAAUGUCGAGUAGCUACGUUCGGAACUGAUAACCGCUGAAAGCAUCUAAGCGGGAAGCAGGCCCCAAGAUUAAUCUUCGUUAUUAGACCCCCGGAAGACUACCGGGUUGAAAGGCGCUAGGUGUAAGUGCGGUAACGCAUUCAGCCGAGGCGUACUUAUCGGUCGAGAAUUACUUAAU